rnacentral:lncRNA from 1 species
GCAUUCCUGGGACAGUGAACUGAGCCUAGCUCCUCUGUGGGAGCAACAAGUUGUUUUAACCACUGACAUCUUUCCACCACUCCCACCACCCCUUAGUACAUAGGCUAAAUUUAUUUAAAGAUUGAUAUUUUGUAGCUUAAUUAUUUGGAAAGCCCCUGCCCUAAAAAUAAAAUUUUAAAAGCGUAUCAGGACAUAGUUUAUGUCCCUUCUGAUUAAUCAAUGGUGAAACAACCCAUUCAGGGUGUUUCUUCCAUUACAUUGUUUUUGUUUUUUGUUUUGUUUUUGUUUUUGUUUUUUCUUCUCAUAUUGUUAUAUGGAAAAGCAAACUUAAUAAGAAUUGAUGUGCUUCUCUGACAGUGAGAUAGCAGUCUGCAGGUAAAAGGGAGAAUGGCCCCAACUCAUACUCUGGACGUGGCAUUCAUGUGCACACAAGUAAAUAAAUGAAUAAAUAUAAAGUACAGAUUUUAGGGUGUUUUGACUUUAAAUUCUAUUCUAAUUCUAUUUGCAGUUUGCAUUGAGACUCCUUGCAUUCCGUCAGAUACACAAAGUUCUGGGAAUGGAUCCAUUACCACAAAUGAAUCAACGCUUUAAUAUCCACAAC